GUACGUUGUAGACCUCUGACAGGGACAUAUAGGAAGGGAUUCAGUCAGAGGUACGUUGUAGACCUCUGUUGACAGGGACAUAUAGGAAGGGAUUCAGUCAGAGGUACGUUGUAGACCUCUGUUGACAGGGACAUAUAGGAAGGGAUUCAGUCAGAUGUACGUUGUAGACCUCUGACAGGGACAUAUAGGAAGGGAUUCAGUCAGAGGUACGUUGUAGACCUCUGACAGGGACAUAUAGGAAGGGAUUCAGUCAGAGGUACGUUGUAGACCUCUGUUGACAGGGACAUAUAGGAAGGGAUUCAGUCAGAGGUACGUUGUAGACCUCUGACAGGGACAUAUAGGAAGGGAUUCAGUCAGAGGUACGUUGUAGACCUCUGUUGACAGUGCCCCAUUUAAAGGCAGUGUUCCUCAGCGUGUUCAUGGUAAAUGUUGCCUAUGUCAGCUCAGUCAGAUAUCACCUUUAAAUGUUCAGGGUGCUACAACACACCUCAGAUUGAAUCUCAGACACUGUAUUCGUACAAGACUGUUUCUGCAUCCAACAACAAGUUGCCAAGCUAGUAGUAAUGUUAAUUAGUGGGAUAAGUUGGUCAAAUCUGGAACAGACUGUUACCCUGUCUAGUGAAGAGGUCACUGUCUCUUAUGUCACAAUGAAGGACCAGUGUGUCUAGUGAAGAGGUUACUGUCUCUUAUGUCACAAUGAAGAGGUCACCAUCUCUUAUGUCACAAUGAAGAGGUUACCGUCUCUUAUGUCACAAUGAAGAGGUCACCAUCUCUUAUGUCACAAUGAAGAGGUUACCGUCUCUUAUGUCACAAUGAAGAGGUUACCGUCUCUUAUGUCACAAUGAAAGUGAUGAGGAACAAUGAGGAACCAUGAUAACUAAAAGAUGAAAAGGUAAGCUGUGAAACCUCUCCUUCGCACACACACACACACACACACACACACACACACACACACACACACACACACACACACACACACACACACGAGAGAUCAAGGUGCAGACAGACAGGGUGUGUGAGGUUGCAGGAACAGAUAAGGAACUUAAUGGCAUUGGGAUCACAAACGGGCUCAUAGCAAACUAUCAUUAAGGCAAAGGAUGAGUGUGUUGUUGAGGGGUGUGUGUGUGUGUGUGUGUCUG